rnacentral:rRNA from 1 species
GACGAACGCUGGCGGCGUGCUUAACACAUGCAAGUCGAACGGAAAGGCCCUGCUUUUGUGGGGUGCUCGAGUGGCGAACGGGUGAGUAACACGUGAGUAACCUGCCCUUGACUUUGGGAUAACUUCAGGAGACUGGGGCUAAUACCGGAUAGGAGCUCCUGCUGCAUGGUGGGGGUUGGAAAGUUUCGGCGGUUGGGGAUGGACUCGCGGCUUAUCAGCUUGUUGGUGGGGUAGUGGCUUACCAAGGCUUUGACGGGUAGCCGGCCUGAGAGGGUGACCGGCCACAUUGGGACUGAGAUACGGCCCAGACUCCUACGGGAGGCAGCAGUGGGGAAUAUUGCACAAUGGGCGGAAGCCUGAUGCAGCAACGCCGCGUGCGGGAUGACGGCCUUCGGGUUGUAAACCGCUUUCGCCUGUGGCGAAGCGUGAGUGACGGUAAUGGGUAAAGAAGCACCGGCUAACUACGUG